rnacentral:rRNA from 1 species
GAGUUUGAUUGUGGCUCAGGAUGAACGCUGGCGGCGUGCUUAACACAUGCAAGUCGAACGAUUAAGACGGCUUCGGCCGUGUAUAGAGUGGCGAACGGGUGAGUAACACGUGACCAACCUGCCCCGCGCUCCGGGACAACCGCUGGAAACGGCGGCUAAUACCGGAUGCUCCGGGGAGGCCCCAUGGCCUCCCCGGGAAAGCCUUAACGGCGCGGGAUGGGGUCGCGGCCCAUUAGGUAGACGGCGGGGUAACGGCCCACCGUGCCCGCGAUGGGUAGCCGGCCUGAGAGGGUGGACGGCCACAUUGGGACUGAGACACGGCCCAGACUCCUACGGGAGGCAGCAGUAGGGAAUUUUCCGGCAA